rfam:Triticum aestivum genome assembly, contig: Triticum_aestivum_CS42_TGACv1_scaffold_147081_2BS
AUGCUACUCCCUCCGUCCGAAAAAACUUGUCCCAAACUUUCCCCAAAUGGAUGCAUCUAACACUAACUUGAUGCUAGAUACAUCCAUUUGAGGGACAAAUUUUUCUGGACGGAGGGAGUAUUAU